GGCUGAGACUGACAAGGAGGCAGAUCAGGGGCAGAGCCAGCAUGAUUCAAACACAGCCCUGGCCAAUCAGCAUCUCCUCAUAGAUAUGAAUUGAAUCAAUGAAUCUCUAUGAGUAAAGUUCAGUGUCUGCAUGCAGAGGGAGGAGACACUGAAUGUUUGGAUGCAUUUUAGGCAGCCAUGACCCAGGAAGGAUCUCUAACAGCCAUCUGAGGAGUGGCCAGUGAAG